AUCCAUUUGCCUGAGGAAACCAAAGUGGUCUGGAUUCCCACCAUGGCCUGGGCCCUGCUUCUCCUUGCAUUGGUCACCUAUUCCUCUGGUUCCCUUGCCCAGUACGUGGUGACGCAGCCGCCUUCAGUGUCUGUGUCUCCUGGAGAAACCACUCGGCUCACCUGCUCCGGGAACAGCAUUAGUGGCAAGUAUGUGCAGUGGUACCAGCAGAAACCUGGCACUGCCCCUCUACUCAUUAUAUAUGAGAAUAGCAAAAGACCCUCCGGCAUCCCUGACCGAUUCUCUGGUGCCAAAUCUGGUGACACGGCCACGUUGACCAUCACUGGAGUCCAAGCCCAGGACGAAGCAGAUUAUUACUGCCAGGUGUGGGAUAGCAGCAAGGCUCACAGUCACACAGUGCAAUGGGGAA